rnacentral:lncRNA from 1 species
ACUGUCAGCAGGGUCGCCGUUGGGAAGAGCUUGCAAAGGGCUCCGGCUUGCAAGGGACCCAGCUUUGCGACUGUGCCAUUCCCGGGCCGAGAGGCUGAGGCCGGUCACUCGGGUUGCAGAAAGGCCGGGCAUAUGGGCACCACCGCGCGCAAAACACUCCACUUUGGCGGAGUCGUGCAGCUCGCCGGCUCUCGCCCUCCUUUACAGCACACCUGGAGGGGGAAGCUCCUGUGUCUCCUGACUGUGUGUUAUGGGAUGUAUGAUUCUGGAAAGCUGGCCUGGAGCGAGAUUGAUGUGGACCUUGGAUUCUCUGCCAGGGGUUUUGAACUUUUUGCUGCUGAGAAGAGGAGCCAUUAAAGUGAGGAAUGUUUGGGCGUCAGCAGUAUAACUUCUGACUGAACGGGAGAGCCAAGAGUUUGGGGCUGAGGCAGCGCUGAAUUCAAUAAAUAUUUGGAGGCUGGGUCACAGAACUUAGCGACCAUUGUAGCUGGAGGGUGACAGAGAACGUUGUCCCGAAUUCUGCAGCACCCUGAACACAGUUCUGCUUCCCUAGGAGUCUUCCCUUCUCCAGCACUCCAUUGGUUUACCACAUACCGCAUGCUUUCUGGAAACUUUAACAUCCUCGUCACCUCUUCAAACACAGAGGGACAAAUUGAAGAUCAUUAAGAACUUCUUCUCCCUCCGAUGAGUCCUUCUGCCUCAAUGUGCCAUGAGGCUAUCAUAUUUGCCUCCCUCUGUGUGCACAGUUGACGAGCAUAUCACACAGUAGAGGCUAAAGUGGCCACAAGAGGCUGCGUUGAGGUUGCUGGAGAAGAGAGAAGCACACGGCCAGAGAGAAGGUUCAUGGGAUGUCCACUAUUUAGAUGCCUGACUUCAGAGUUAGCCAUGUCUUGGCUCUUGGCAAUUCCUAAGGAAAUUCUGGAUGACGACCCUUGGAAGACUUUCUGGCCCAGGAGGGGCACCCGAGAGCAAAAAACGAGAGAGCCGAGUUUUAUCGGCCAGGCGGCCCGUGCUUAAAGGUGACAUUCGAGAGAACAAUCGCUAGGUUGUUUGGUCACCUUUGCUGGUAUGAAUGAAGCUUAAGAAAAGCUGUCUUUGGAUUGCUACUAAUAGUCAUCUUCAUCAUGCCUGCUCUCCCUCUCUCUCUCCCU